rnacentral:rRNA from 1 species
CUACGGGCGGCAGCAGUGGGGAAUAUUGGACAAUGGGGGAAACCCUGAUCCAGCAAUGCCGCGUGUGUGAAGAAGGCCUGCGGGUUGUAAAGCACUUUCGGUUGGGAGGACUGCUUCUAGCACUAAUAUUGUUGGAAGUUGACGUUACCUUCAGAAGAAGCACCGGCUAACUCCGUGCCAGCAGCCGCGGUAAUACGGGGGUGCAAGCGUUAAUCGGAAUUACUGGGCGUAAAGCGCGCGUAGGCGGCUAGAUCAGUCGGGUGUGAAAGCCCCGGGCUUAAGCUGGGAACUGCAUCCGAUACUGUCUAGCUUGAGUACAGGAGAGGAGAGUGGAAUUCCACAUGUAGCGGUGACAUGCGUAGAUAUGUGGAGGAACACCAAUGGCGAAGGCAGCUCUCUGGCCUGAUACUGACGCUGAGGUGCGAAAGCGUGGGGAGCAAACAGGAUUAGAUACCCGUGUAGUC